rnacentral:tRNA from 1 species
UAGCGGUGUUUGGGCACUAAGAAUUUUGAUUUCUUAAGAGAGGUUCAGUACCUCCUGA